UACGUAGGGGACGAGCGUUGUCCGGAAUUACUGGGCGUAAAGGGCGCGCAGGCGGUAUAUCAAGUCAGCUGUCAAAGACUGGGGCUCAACCCUGGUAUGCGGUUGAAACUGAUGUACUGGAGUGCUGUAGAGGCAAGUGGAAUUCCCAGUGUAGCGGUGAAAUGCGUAGAUAUUGGGAAGAACACCGGUGGCGAAGGCGACUUGCUGGGCAGCAACUGACGCUGAGGCGCGAAAGCGUGGGGAGCAAACAGGAUUAGAUA
rnacentral:rRNA from 1 species